CCUCCUGUGGUGCCAUGGGGUCAGCGCGUCUGGCUGUUAACCAGAAGGUUGGUGGUUUGAUCCCACCCGGGGAAGG